rfam:Heterocephalus glaber contig18996, whole genome shotgun sequence.
AGCCAUAUGAUCUGGCUGCAACAUCUGUCACUCCACUGAUCACCAAGGUUAAUUUGGCUGAUCUGGCUUGCUAAGCAGGGGUCCUCUUCCUCCCUCACCCACCCAUGUGCAUCCCUCCCAAAGCUGCAUACUCAGUGGAUGAGGACGACCAUCCCCAAUAGAAGAGGACCAUUUCCUCAGUCAAGGGUAUACGAGUAGCUGAGUUCCCCUACUAGAUCCUCCAAACAAGCUCUCAAAAAGUCAUAUGGACCAAUACUGCCUGUACUGCCUGUAGACUAAAUAACAACUACAUCAUGUACUUGAAUAUCUUUUAUAU